GUCACCACCAACGACGACCGAGGUAGACGCCGCCGGCGACAGCAUCGUCGGUGGAGGACGCAGCAUCGAACGGCCGAACGAGGGACGCCACCCGGACGCGACCUGCUGGGUGAAUGCCGAAGGGGCCUGCAGUGUUCAGCGACUACGACUCUGCUGCCAGCGUCAGCAAUGUCAGUGCCUUCCUACCACCUCUGUCCACGGCCUGCACACAGUCGAGCGAGCUGCCCGGUUCGACGGCUACCGUAUGAAUCUGUCGUCGACUUAUCUGGCGGCAUGUUGAACUCCUCCUGCUGUACCUGCGAGAGUCGCUCAUGGUGCAGCCCGCCUGUACGACGCCAGGUACCAAGAAGACUUCGCCUGCAGCGGGCACAGAGCUGCUGCUAAAAUUGGCCGCUUCGCGCGGCUUUUUCACCGAUGAGCAUGACCACGUGUUCAUCCUUUUCUACUCGGCCCGCUACACGCAGCCGUCAGGGUCGAGCAGCAAGGGGAAACCACGCUACUGAUUUCGGCGUCGACUUGAUACGGGGGCAAUGCCGAAGCAGCACAUAACUUCUGCAGCACCGGAGAAGACGACUCGUUUAGACUUAGACUUUGAUGAAUAAACAAUUAUUGACGAAAAAAA
rnacentral:lncRNA from 1 species